rfam:Medicago truncatula strain A17 unplaced genomic scaffold scaffold0331, whole genome shotgun sequence.
AAGUAGUGUGACAUGCCCGUUUGAGAUAUACUCUGAUGUAUAUUUAUUUAUUAUUUAAUUGCUUUGGGAUAACAGGGUGUUACACAUAU